CUACUCCCCCAGAAGCUUUCGGGGACUACACUGGGGCCAGUGUCUCACCGAUCUACAGGUCCAAGGUCCCAGAGACAGCAUUCCUGGCAGGAGAUGUCUCUGGGCUGGAAGAUGGUUUCAGGCAGAGAACACCUGGAAGCUGAUGAUACUUUUCUAGUUUCAGCACUACCGGGCUCAGAAAAUCCCCUGUAAUCUGUCCUCACCUGUCCAGAACAGAGCUUCACAGGAGACCAUCAGUGGAGCAACAUGCUGUCAGUUUUCCUUCUGGCACUGAGAGUCCUGCUCAUGAAAAGUGUUGCACUCAACCGUCUCCGGACAGUCCAGCCCUCCUCUCCCUGAGGCUGCUGGACCUUCCUGUCUGGGGCAACCUCAACUGCCUUCUUUUGUUUCCACUGGGCCUGAAUCGCUUCCCUCACUGUGUGAGGAACAAGGACAUUUUCCUGACUCAUUUCCUGAAAGU